rnacentral:tRNA from 1 species
AGCUUAGUGGUCAGAGCAUUGGUGCGUAAAGCCAAAAAUCCCGGGUUCGAUUCCCGG